UCGGGUUUCGGGGUUGGGGUUUCGGGUUUCGGGUUUCGGAUUCUAGGGAUUUAAACAUAACACUCGUGAAUUCCACGUAAGCACAAAUCGUCGUAAAGUCGUCGUAGGGUGAAAUCGUCGUAAAUACCACGUAUGAUGAAAUCGUCGUAAAUACCACGUAAAAGGAUUUAAACAAAACACUCGUUAAUUCCACGUAAGCAGAAAUCAUC
rnacentral:lncRNA from 1 species